GACGAACGCUGGCGGCGUGCCUAACACAUGCAAGUCGAGCGAGUGAAUCUCCUUCGGGAGUGAAGCUAGCGGCGGACGGGUGAGUAACACGUGGGCAACCUGCCUCAUAGAGGGGAAUAGCCUUUCGAAAGGAAGAUUAAUACCGCAUAAGAUUGUAGCUUCGCAUGAAGUAGCAAUUAAAGGAGCAAUCCGCUAUGAGAUGGGCCCGCGGCGCAUUAGCUAGUUGGUGAGGUAACGGCUCACCAAGGCGACGAUGCGUAGCCGACCUGAGAGGGGGAUCGGCCACAUUGGGACUGAGACACGGACCAGACUCCUACGGGAGGCAGCAGUGGGGAAUAUUGCACAAUGGGGGAAACCCUGAUGCAGCAACGCCGCGUGAGUGAUGACGGCCUUCGGGUUGUAAAGCUCUGUCUUCAGGGACGAUAAUGACGGUACCUGAGGAGGAAGCCACGGCUAACUACGUGCCAGCCGCCGCAGUAACAC
rnacentral:rRNA from 1 species